UUUACUGAUAUUUUUCUGAUUUUAAUUUGUGUAUAAAGAUCUUAGUGAUAUUAUGACACAUCACAUUGUUGCAAAUGAACUACUCUUUUAGUGCAUCAGUGUUCAGAGUAAUGACUGUAUUAGCCUACACUAGCCAGUAGUGCAGAGCAGUAAUUUUCCCUACACCAUAUCAAACUUUCAAAUCCAACUGUUUAAUUUAGCAAUAAGUAAAUUGCCAUACUUACUCAUUUUUGCAAAAAAAAAAAAAAAAAAAAAAAAAAAAAACAGAUUUGAUCUCAUACCUAAUAAAUUAAAUCUGUAAUAUUGGCAAUCAGAGCUAGCCAUAUAUUUGUCAUUCAGCCACCAUGUGUAUUUGGCAAGUUUCUAUCCAGUGGAUAUUACAAAUAUCUUUUUCCAGUCUGUUAGUUUACUUUAAAGAUUUUGUUUAUGACAUCUUUUGGGUAAAUUUCAGCACUUUGAUGAUCCUCUUUUAUUGUCUUCUGUACCUCUCUAGCUACGGAGACUGGCUGUCAAAUUUUAAUUUUAAUUUUAAUUCUAUUACAGUUUAUCCACAAUCAAUUCAGAACCAGGUCUUCUAUGGUGGCUCACAGUUCCUGCACCCUACAAUAUUGUGAAUUUUCUUCCGCUUCCUUUCAUGUAAUGACAUGAAUAUGCUCCAGUGGAUCCUAGGAUAUCUUUCACAUGAGCUUACCCUCGCCCUUUGGAUGUCAGGUGGAACAAAGGGAUGGAAGAUUUUUUGUACUGGGACAUUCAGUAAACCCCUAGGCCUACCUAUUGUGUAGUUAGAGUUAGAGAAGCAAAUGAUGUCCGUGAGGGCCUACAAGGCACAAGAGGACGAAAGUUUAACUUAAAGUUUAGAUGCUAAUAUUCUAGCUAAUAAUAAUGUAUGAUUGCCUCAUGUGCUCUCUUUUUUUAUAUUUCUCUCCUAAUAUAUAAAGAUGGAUUUCAAAAGA